UGACGCAAUAAAGGAAAGAAUCUAAGAAAGGUUUUGAUAUCAGUUGCCAACACUACGAUAGCAAGAUAGCAAAGUCCAAAGGGAUCACAUUUCACAGCGGGAAGACAAACAACAAAGCCGGACGACAAUAAGGAUUAAGUUAAUAUUCUGGCUCCGGAUGGACAACAACUUCAAAACCAAAAUCCUAGUGGUCCAUUGAGCUACAUAGAAGAAAGUGAAAAUACAAACCCUCUGGAAUAUCGUGCGGAUGGGAGAACCUUUGAAGGUCAAACGAGGAGCUCCCCAAGAAACGUCACAGGGACAAGGCCUCUCUUCUUCCCGCUCGUCAGCCGAAGGAAGCCGUCAAUCUCCUCGUUUUUCCCGAUGCAGAUCUGUAGAGGGAGAGGGAGGACAAACAGGAGGGCACAGAACAGGAGCAGGGAAAUAAAAAUGCCUAGAGCGAGUGUGUGCAUGCAGAAGAUAGGAAAAAUGUGUGCAUCUCCUGGCUGCGCACCUGAUUCUCUUUCACAGUCAUCUGGCCUUUGUCUCGAUUGCCAUGGAAAGCAGCGGUGACCUUCCACACCCGCUCACCCGGUCGGACCCGCUGGACAAAGUUGGCUGGGAAAAAUCCCACCUUGUCUCUACUUUUCCCCUGGAUUGACUUAGACAUGAUGGCCUGAAGAGAUGUUUAAACUGAUGGAUCAUCAGAAGCUGCGACUUUCGUGAAAAGAGAGGACAAGGCAAAGAGGAUGUGCCAGGAAGACACUGGGAUUUGUGUUUGACAUGCCAGAAGGUGUUGGCACUCCAAACUGCUGACUCAUGCACCAGGUCUGCAGGGAUUAUUGGGAUUAUUAGUUUUUAAUGUGUCCUUGGCAUUAUUUUAAAAAAUGUUGCUCCUGUCAGCAGAAACCAGAGGACUGCACGAGCUGAGUGACUAACUCUGGCAGAGAUCACAGAUUUAAACAGCAGCCUGUGAUUACUUUUAGGUUGAUAUAGCAUGCAGCAGAAAUAUAUCCUAUAUCUACAAACCUGACAUGGCACCCUAAAGGAAUUGUAUUGCAUCCAAAGACCCAAAACCUGAAUUUCUGUUUAAAUACAAAAUAUCUUAUGAGGUUGAAUUGUAGCAGUGCAUCAACUGGAAUUAUUACUUACUUGGAAUAAUUUAACCUUUUUUCCAUUACAUUUCUUUAUAUUAAAGUACUGGCAUUGACAGUUAUAAUGAAAAAUGUAAAAUGUUGAUGUUGUUUAUGUUUUCAAAACCUCACUAAAUCUGGAUAGUUCCAGUCAGAAAUGCAAAUA